rnacentral:ncRNA from 1 species
GUGUGGUUCUAUUUUGUUGGUUUCUAGGACCGCCGUAAUGAUUAAUAGGGAUAGUCGGGGGCAUCAGUAUUCAAUUGUCAGAGGUGAAAUUCUUGGAUUUAUUGAAGACUAACUACUGCGAAAGCAUUUGCCGAGGAUGUUUUCAUUAAUCAGUGAACGAAAGUUAGGGGAUCGAAGACGAUUAUCUGGUCGUCGAAAGCGGGCGCGUGUAUCCUGAAUACGCACGCUCUCUAGUUUGCCUCCGGGCGAGCAACACCGUCAAAUUGCGGGGACCUCCUAAAGGCUACACCACACCUCCCGGCUAGAAAUGGCCGGCGAGUCGUAAAAGCGUGUAGCAUGAACCAAGUAAGAUUGGUGAAAUGGACAAUCCGCAGCCAAGUCCUACGGCCUCCUGGGCUAUGGAUGCAGUUCACAGACUAGACGUCGGUGGGGGAAGCUCACUAUGAGUUCCUUAAGAUAUAGUCGAGCGCUUGCCGAAAGGUUAGCGGGUUUAAUUGCAGAUACCGUCGUAGUCUUAACCAUAAACUAUGCCGACUAGGGAUCGGGCGAUGUUAUCUUUUUGACUCGCUCGGCACCUUACGAGAAAUCAAGGUCUUUGGGUUCUGGGGGGAGUAUGGUCGCAAGGCUGAAACUUAAAGAAAUUGACGGAAGGGCACCACCAGGAGUGGAGCCUGCGGCUUAAUUUGACUCAACACGGGGAAACUCACCAGGUCCAGACACAAUAAGGAUUGACAGAUUGAGAGCUCUUUC